CCGCGUCCCCGCAAGGCCGCAACUCCCUGCUCUCUCCUCCUCUGCCACGGUCGGCGGCUGCACGCCUGCACCCUUCCGUGGCCUCCGGUUCCCUUUGCAACUGCUAGUCCUGUCCCUCCUUCGUCGUGGCCUCAAGCCCUCAAUCGAAAUCGAAGAGAUCGUACAGUACCAACGAAGAGGGGGGACAGGCCGUCGGCGUCGUGUUUUGCUGCUCGCCCUCGUUCGCGGAUUCGAGGUCUUAUGCUUCGAUUUGAUUUCUUACAUGAGGAAUUGGAGAGCCGUGAUUGCUGCAGGUGUCUGCACAUUUCGACUGGAUAGUUAGGUGCUAGUGCUCCCCUCCACCUAUGUAUAUCGUUAUACAAGUUCUUUUACUGAAUGAAUUGCAGUAGCUGGAUGGAUGGCUACAAUAGAUACGCCACAGCCUAACGGAUCAGUUCCCACUGUUUAGUUUCACCGUCAGGUUUUGAUCCAAGGCGUGAAAAAUGGUUCUGUCGAAUAUAAAGGAGUUAAAAAUUGUCUGACUGAGUUUUAUAUGGACAGAUCCUAUUACAGAACGUCUAUUCAUGAGCAGAAGAACUUCUAGCACCUUCCAUCGAUCAAAGCAAUAUAGGUGCCCCAAUGACGAACUUAAUUAUUAAGUUCUGAACUGUACUCGCUUCUCCAUCAGCCAAACAGUGGGAGAAACUACGCGAGCUACCAAAUGCACGCCAGCAUACAGCUGAAAACAACUUCGAUUCUUCUUGGGGUGCUAAUGCCUUCUUCACAAUCAGGAGAUGCAGGCAUAUUGUCGAUUACACAUGCUUAAUCUGCAUAAAGUUCUGCUUCAAGCACAUAGUCAGGCAAUACUGCAAGAGCUACUCAGCUGGUCUGAAGCAACAGAUGCCUACAUUACAGGGACUUGGUCACCUGUGAACUCGAGCUCCUUCAAUCUGGGAAGUUCGUCGAUGCCAGAGAGAGAUGUGGAAGAUGACCAUACAAUCUUCUCGAGCCUAGGAGCAGAUCCACAGGUGAAGACAAUCUUGGUGAUGGCCGAGCAGUGAACUUCAAGAAGAUUGAGCCAUAAAAACUCAUCUUUUUCUAAUGUUAUCGCAUUCUGUGUUGCACCAACAGAAUGGAGCACUAGAGAGCGUAUAUUUCUUUUAUUGGCGAGCAGUUGUAGCGCAUCUUGCUCUAGCAUUGUACCACGAAGAGUCAGCUUCGCUAUUUGUGUUGCAUUGUCAAAUGAUGACAACAAACUGCCGCCGAAGCUGUUGUUCAACUCAAGUUCUUUCAAUUUAGGAAGACAGUCAACUCCAGAAAUAGAACAUAUGCUGCUGAUAGACAAAACCAUCUUCUCGAGCUCACUGGCUGCUCCAUUCUCAAAAGUGAUAUCAGUCAAGUUUGAGCCCUCAACAAGAAGGUACUUGAGGCAUUUGAAUUCACCGCCCGUGAACUUCAGAGUACGCUCGGUGCAUACAAUGUGUUGGAGCCUGAAACACCGUAAUUUGGGGAGCUUGCCAAGGAUUUUAAGAUCAUCUUGGCUCAGCACAGUGUAGCAUAGAGUUACCUUGGCAAGUUUGUUUUUAUCACCUUUUAUGUACAAUGGAAGAAGACGCCCCUUCUGUGUGGUUCCCCUGAUGCUUAGACUCUCAAGAAUCUUGGGGCAGUUUUUUAAGAGAGAGCCAAUGUCAUCUGGUAACUCUGCACCGGAAGAAGUACCCUCGUGUUGUGUGGCUGCGGGAGUAGUAGUGAUUGACAGAGAACGGAGGCACUCAUGUAGGUCACUGAUCGUCUGAAGAAAAUUCUUGAGGUGACUGUCCUUAUCAUCGAUAACCACACCUAGCUUCCUCAGCUGCCAUAGCUUUCCAAUAUCUUUUAAAUCAUGACUCUGCUGGGCCUUGACAUUGGAUAGCACCUCCAUAUUUACCAUUUUGUCGAUCCUAUGAGGAAUCUGGCCACUAGAGCCAAAAUUGCUUGGAUUCAGAUCGAUGUGACCAGCAAGCAGACGCUUCAGCUUCAAGAGCAGGAUAUUUGCUGUUGCAUGUGGAGGUAUCUCAGUUUGUCGGAUAUCCAAUACCUCUAGCUCGCGGAGGUUGUUGAUUUCACUGGGUAGCUGGGUAAUAUCUGUUCUCCUCAGGCUCAGAUACUUGAGAAGUAACAUCUUGUUGCAGAUGUCCUUGAGGUACCGCUGGUUCUUCUUCCCAAGAAAACACCGGCAACCUUCUAGAUCUAGCACCUUGAGCAGGGAUAGUUGAGACGAGUUAGAGAGCCCCUGGAAGAAUUUAUCAAUUCUAUCAGAGCUGCGGAGUUGGAGAUCGUUGAAAAUGGAGAAAUGGCGAGCCAAGUGAUGCGACAGGCGUGUCUCCACGAUGUGUUGUUUUCUUGCGAUGGUGGUAAUGAAUCCAUGAACUGGAUCAUCUAUGACGCAACUCUUUACAUUUCCUGUGGCACCAACAUCAGCAGGAUAAACAAGGCACCGGCUAACAAGUGCGUCAAAACAUCGGUUGGCCUGACGGACAGAACUCGGCCAAUCUUCCUUGGAUGUCAGACCUUCUGCAACCCACCGUCCAAUCAAGGUUGACCGCCUGAUCUUGUGUCCGGAAGGGAAGAUAGCUAGGUACAGCAAGCAGGACUUGUACUCUUUAGGCAAAUCAUUGUAAGAGAACUUGAACAUCACCUUAGCAAUGUUGUUGAAUGAUGUUGUUGGCAAAGCCUGCAGGGUGCUGUUCAGCUUGAGUAACUCCUCCUCGCUCCUCUUGGGGUUAGCAUACAUAGCAUGAGUGAAGAUCUUCAUGCAGAAUUCAUGUGGCUCACACUCGUACAAGAUAUCAUGAAAUAUUUGUGGGUUAUAGAUGUCUCCAUUCUUCAGUUGGCCAGUAAGCUUGAGCACUGUAUCAUUGUAGAGGCCAGCAAGAGAAUAGUCUAUAGGUUCCCUCUGUGGGUAGCAAUAUUCUUUAGCCGUCUGGAUGUCCUUUGUGGCGGUGACGAUCAUUAAAUCAGCGCUGCAGUUUAACAGGCUCAAAGCAUUUCUGGUAUCCUCCCAUGCGGAAGCAUCCAUCAGCUCAUCAACUUUGAGAAUAAUCAAGGGACAUUCACAUUUACGCUGGGAAGGAAGAUAAUUCAAGUUCCUUUUAAUCCUGUCCACGAGACCUUUGAUCUUGAGCUGCUCUUUGAACUCGUGCUUCAUUUUGUCCAUCAUUUGACCGAUUUUUUCG